UUGACCUCAGAUCAGGUAGGAAUACCCGCUGAACUUAAGCAUAUCAAUAAGCGGAGGAAAAGAAACCAACAGGGAUUGCCCUAGUAACGGCGAGUGAAGCGGCAACAGCUCAAAUUUGAAAUCUGGCGCAAGCCCGAGUUGUAAUUUGUAGAGGAUGUUUCUGGCGACGUGCCUUCCGAGUUCCCUGGAACGGGACGCCAUAGAGGGUGAGAGCCCCGUACGGUUGGAUGCCUAGCCUCUGUGAAACUCCUUCGACGAGUCGAGUAGUUUGGGAAUGCUGCUCUAAAUGGGAGGUAUACGUCUUCUAAAGCUAAAUACCGGCCAGAGACCGAUAGCGCACAAGUAGAGUGAUCGAAAGAUGAAAAGCACUUUGAAAAGAGGGUUAAAAAGUACGUGAAAUUGUUGAAAGGGAAGCGUUCAUGACCAGACUUGGGCAGGUUGAUCAUCCGUGGUUCUCCGCGGUGCACUCUGCCUGCCCAGGCCAGCAUCAGUUCGCCCCGGGGGAUAAAGGUUUUGGGAAUGUGGCUCCCUCGGGAGUGUUAUAGCCCACUGCGUAAUACCCUGGGGUGGACUG
rnacentral:rRNA from 2 species